UACGGAGGGUGCAAGCAUUAAUCGGAAUUAUUGGGCGUAAAGGGCGCGCAGGCGGUGAUGUAAGACAGAUGUGAAAUCCCCGGGCUCAACCUGGGAACUGCAUUUGUGACUGCAUCGCUGGAGUGCGGCAGAGGGGGAUGGAAUUCCGCGUGUAGCAGUGAAAUGCGUAGAUAUGCGGAGGAACACCGAUGGCGAAGGCAAUCCCCUGGGCCUGCACUGACGCUCAUGCACGAAAGCGUGGGGAGCAAACAGG
rnacentral:rRNA from 1 species